rnacentral:rRNA from 1 species
AGCGUUUGACAUGGUAGGACGGUUUCCAGAGAUGGAUUCCUUCCCUUACGGGACCUACACACAGGUGCUGCAUGGCUGUCGUCAGCUCGUGUCGUGAGAUCGUUGGGUUAAGUCCCGCAACGAGCGCAACCCUCGUCUUUAGUUGCUACCAUUUAGUUGGGCACUCUAAAGAAACUGCCGGUGAUAAGCCGGAGGAAGGUGGGGAUGACGUCAAGUCCUCAUGGCCCUUACGCGCUGGGCUACA